CAGAUUAAUAUUGGUGCUGGGCUAUCGCCUGGCUCCAAAUAUUGUUCUCAACAAUCAAGGAAUUCUGGAUUGAGUUCACAAACUGGUGUUGUAAGGUAAGAAUUAACAAGAAUAAAUAGUCUGCUUUUAGUGCUUUAUAUGAAGAAAAUGACAAACUGGCCCAGCUAAGGUAGUCACCUAGGAUCUGUUCAUAUGAGCCAUGCUGGCCCGUUAAACCAAGUUAGCUUGCUUGGCCGGGCCAAGUUGUUAUUUGUUUCACAUGAGGCGGGCUAGCCUGACAAGUGCUAUAAGAAAUUACCAAACAAUUUUAUAUAUGGUGGGAAAGCGAUAUUUGUUUUAAUUUUGAAAAUGGUAUUUUUAUUGAAGGAAACUGCUUCAGAAGUUUUAAUAUUGUUCAUUAAUGUUAUUUUUUUAAAUUCUUAUAUGCUUUCUACUGUAGAUAGAAUAAAGCAUGUGUUGUGACACAAUUGCCAGUCUGGUUUGCCGGGCUGGCCGGGAAAGGCGAGAUCUUGCCUUGCUCAAAUGGGAGCCCAUCAAAUUAACCAGGCCAGCCCGGUUCUCAUGUGAAUCAAAUCUCAAAAACAUAUAAAAACAAUAUACACGUACAAGACCAGAUCUCGGCACUUGCAAGUCGGUCCAGCCAGACGAAUCAGCCUUGAUCUUGUAAACAGCCCAUGUAAGGACCUUGUAUGUAGGAAUUAUUACAUUUCUUGAUACUGCAUCAAAAAUAAGGCCUGUUGGCACUGUACUCAAUUUUGGUAUCCGUAACAUGUUUACCACGCUUGGACUACUCCUAUUCACACAGGCCGAGCAUGGAUAAAUUUGGUACAGGUACCAAGUUUAUCUGUGCCAUACUAGGCGUAAAAAAAUACCUGUGGUUCUGGUUCCCAAUCGACCCUAUUUUUUUCUGCCCACCCUAUUAUUUUUUUAAAGUGAUUGACUGUGCGACCCUAUUUUCUCCAGAUGGUUGUGGGCUGCUGCCAAAUGACAUCUGUUGUCACACUAAUUAUUGAAAAAUCCAUGAAAAAAUAUUUAAAAAAAAGUAUUUCCAACCUACCAACCCUAAUUUUUUUGCGAUAUGAAACCGGAACCACAGGUAUUUUUUUUAUGCCCUACUAGAUUAAUCUUGCUAUCUCAAUGCCAAACAAUUGUACAUGUCCAGGGUCCUGAUGUAUUAACCCAAUUAGUGGCAGCACUCUUCCCCUGAGUCCCUGACGAGUUAAAUCGUCUGGCAUUAGACAGAGUAAAAUAAUAAAGUAGGGCGCAUCUUGGUGCAUUGGCACUUAAAGGGUUAAUGUAAUGUUACUGCACUACAUUGAUGCUAACUGUAUUAUGAAUUAAAGUUAUUUAAGAGAAGACAGUCAGUUGAGUAUCAUAUUUAGUCCACAAGAUAUAUUCCCCUUUAAACAGGAACUGUUGCAUGACAGAUCAUAAAUUAAUUGACAUAAUCUACUUGGCUAACUAAUAAUUAUUAGACAGUAGUGCACAAUGCAACUAAAUGGUUAAUUUGACACAUGGGCAGAUAGUCUGAUUAACCCAUUGAGCAUGACUGCUUUCCUCUUGACAAGUAAAGUUAUCUGGUGUUAGACAGAGUAAAAUAAUAAAAUAUGAUGCAACAAAAUUUAGUGUCUGGUGAAACUUAAAGCUUGCUGAUUAAUAGUGAUUAUUGGUUAUUACUUUUUAAAAUAACAUGGGUCCAAGGUCUUUGCCAGAAGAAGUUGCGCUAGAUGGUGGUUUGCCUAAUACCAGAUGGUAGCGGGUGGUGCCCAGAUACCUAAUGGCACCAGAUAGUAGUCUACAGGUUUUUUUCCGGACUUUCUCUUGGGUCCAUUUUUGCAGAGAAGAUUGAGUUUAGCUGAACAGCUGGGGUGGCUGCACCCCCCCCCCACCGCGGGAGGCUGAAACCUAUGCUCAAUAAAUGUAGUUGAGAUGGAAUGUGUUAAAGCAGGGGCCCUAAGGGACACUAUAAACUGGUUAAAGAUGGCGAAUGCAUAGUUUUUCUUGUGUUGCAAGAUGAAUUCCUGAAACUUUGGUGAGAAGAUUGAGUUUCAAAACUCAAUUCAAGAUUCAAUUUUUGGGCCCGUUUAACGGCCCUAAAAAAUCCCUGGAAAAAACCCUGGUCUACUGGGUACAGGUCUGGAGAAACCUGUCUCUGGUCAACAUAUGUGUAUUUGUCAUACCCUGCAUCACCUUGUACAUACAAAUGAAAUAUGAACUGGCUUUGUUAUUGGUUAAAUAAAGGCUGUUCAUUACAUCCACAGUUAGUAGUCCCUUUUACACUGUAGGUUAAUGAUAAGUCUCAAGGUCAUUGUUCUGGCAUAUUUUGUAUAAAGUAAUGAUUACAUUUUCAAUAAGUAAAAUUUUCCUUUUACAGAUUCUAAGAUGAUGGAUCUUUGAUGGCAAUUGCAUGCUGUGUUUGGAACAGUAUUAAUUAAAUGUACAUGAGGAAAUCAAUGGACUUGGUGAAUGAACAAUGGUAUAGAUAAUAUUGAUUGUGAAAUGGACAAAAUGUUAAACAAAAUAUGGCUUCAGGGGAAACCAGGGUUUUUUCAGGGAUUUUUUAGGGCCCUUUAAACGGCCCCAAAAACUCAAUCUUGAAUUGAGUUUU
rnacentral:lncRNA from 1 species